AGACUGUCAUUUUCAGUGCUUUGAGAGGUGCAAGAUUAAAUACUGGAGCUGAUUACACUGAACUAAUCAGCUUGCUCAUUGAGGAAAACACCGUGCUCUUACUAAACAGAAACAAGGAGCUGCAGAAGCAUAACCUUUUGAAGAAAAGUAAAGUGACUGACAGAGGUGUGGUGAAGCUGUUUAUCUGUGGACACAGCAGAGUGGGGAAGACAACCCUGACACACACACUGCAGCAGGAAGGAUUUUUGUCACAGCUCCAGUAUUGUUUUUUUUGCUCAACCUCCCUCUACCCAAG